UUGGGUCUUGCACUUCCCCUGCUCUGGAGGGCAUGCUUGUGGGCUACUCUGUUUAGUCUAAAACCCAGCAGAGCUGAAGGUCCUGGUUCUGUGGCUCAGAAGCACAUUCCAGGGCUGGGUGGGAGGGCCGGACUAUCUCCUGAUG
ensembl:miRNA